rnacentral:rRNA from 1 species
GUGAACGCUGGCGGUAGGCCUAACACAUGCCAGUCGAACGGCAGCACAGUAAGAGCUUGCUCUUCCGGGUGGCGAGUGGCGGACGGGUGAGGAAUACAUCGGAAUCUACUUUUUCGUGGGGGAUAACGUAGGGAAACUUACGCUAAUACCGCAUACGACCUACGGGUGAAAGCAGGGGAUCUUCGGACCUUGCGCGAUUGAAUGAGCCGAUGUCGGAUUAGCUAGUUGGCGGGGUAAAGGCCCACCAAGGCGACGAUCCGUAGCUGGUCUGAGAGGAUGAACAGCCACACUGGAACUGAGACACGGUCCAGACUCCUACGGGAGGCAGCAGUGGGGAAUAUUGGACAAUGGGCGCAAGCCUGAUCCAGCCAUACCGCGUGGGUGAAGAAGGCCUUCGGGUUGUAAAGCCCUUUUGUUGGGAAAGAAAAGCAGCAGGUUAAUACCCCGCUGUUCUGACGGUACCCAAAGAAUAAGCACCGGCUAACUUCGUG